GCGGGAACGGGGCUGCCACGGAGCCCCUCGGCGCGGGACGGCCGCUGGCUGUGGCCCCCCGGCUAGCAGAGCGGGCGGGGCGGGAGCCCGCCGCCAACUUGGCUCCGGAGGGCGUUUGAGCGCCACCCCCGGCUGGCGGAGCUCCCACAGGCCGGCCGCGGGGCUGGGCCAAGGCCAGGCUCACUCCAGCCGCGGAGGGACGGGCUAGAAAUGAGCGGAGCGUUGUCGCCUGGCAGCGGCCCCGGGCCGGCUUAAGCGCCCCCCAGGCGGAGAGUUCACCUAGGAAGCGCGAUUCGUUAAGAAAAGCCGCGCGAGGCAGCUGUCGCGCCGCAGGCCACUGAGUCCUCAGCCGGGGCCGCCAAGUCCAGCUGGUGGAAGUGCUCCGGGGUGGGGGCAGCCGGGGCCCGUCUGCGCGCUACGGGGCCGCGGGGCCGAGCGGCUGACGGGGGGAGAGAGGUGCCGACAAAGGAGUAGGUCGCUGCGCGAGUGGACCGAGCGCUCCGUGUUUACACGGCUCCCUCCCAGCGAUCUUACUAGCGUAGCGUAGCGACCUGACUUGAAUUUAGCAUCGGCUGGACGGCUCCAAGAAGGACGCUUUCUAAGGGUCCUUAUGACUGGCAUCAUCCUCACUCUUCCAAGCUUCCUCUUUAAAAAUCAGCCUUUCGAAAGCUGUCUCAAGCCCCAGCUAACUUUCCCACGGAGCCAAGCAACUGGCAAAUUUUCUGCCAGUGGUGAGUAUGGUGCAGCAUCUUCGUGGAUCAAAGGACAAAAAGUAGACUGAAAAGUAGCAAGGAGAGGAGCUUCCAUUCUCCAUUCCAUUCCAUAAUCUCAUCAUCAGUGGCAGUUUCUGUGGAGAAGGCUAUUAUCUUAUAGGUGGUGGUGGUGAUGAUGAUUAUUUUUAGUUCAAGGUUCUGUUUUCGCCAGAUCUCUCAUUGGGUGCUGUCUAACGCCCAAGUCAGUCUGUGCACCUCCAGCGUCUCUCGUGACGUUCUGAAGAGAUGGAUUUGACUCCAGUGGUGCUUGCUUGUGGGGAUGCACAUUGGGCCAGACCCACUGGAUCUGAAGGACCUUUGGUUUUCCUGAUCUCUGGGACAGCAUGAAUCAAUGACAGGAGAUGAUCAGGAACAUACAGAAACGGAUCCUCAGGAACAUGCCAUCAAACGGGGACUGACUUGACCAGCCUUAGCUGCAUCCGAUGAAGUGAGCUGUAGCUCACGAAA